CAACAGCGUAUAUUAAAGUUGUUGCAGUUAAAACGCUCGUAGUCGGAUUUCGGGGCGGGCGGGCCGGUCUGCCGAUGGGUAUGCACUGGUCUGGCCGCCCUUCCUUCCGGAGACCGUGCGUGCUCUUAACUGAGUGCGCUCGGGAGACGGAUCGUUUACUUUGAAAAAAUCAGAGUGUUUCAAGCAGGCAGCUCGCUCUUGCAUGGAUUAGCAUGGGAUAAUGAAAUAGGACUUUGGUGCUAUUUUGUUGGUUUCGAACACCGAAGUAAUGAUUAACAGGGACAGUCAGGGGCACUCGUAUUCCGCCGAGAGAGGUGAAAUUCUCAGACCAGCGGAAGACGAACCACUGCGAAAGCAUUUGCCAGGGAUGUUUUCACUGA
rnacentral:rRNA from 1 species